AGGUGGUCGGACAGUCGCGCUUUGGAAAGUAAAAUCCGAAAGUGAGGAAAGUCCGGGCUUCAUGGAAACAGGGUACCGGAUAACGUCCGGCCGGAGAAAUCCGAGGGAGAGCGCCACAGAAAGUUACCGCCAAGGCGUGCUUUGGUAAGGUUGAAAAGGCGAGGUAAGAGCUCACCGCCGCUUCAGCAAUGCAGCGGGCAAGGCAAGCCCUAUCCGAUGUAAGACCAAACAAGGUGUAUCAGGUUUUCCUGACGGAGCGUUUCCACUCUGUCCAAGGGUAGGUCGCAAGAGCAAAUCGGCAACGAUUUGGUGAGAUGAAUGGCUGUCAGCAUUAUCUUUGCCUUUCGGUAAAGCAAUGAUGUAUACAAAACCCGGCUUACAGGCCACCUA
rnacentral:RNase_P_RNA from 1 species